rnacentral:lncRNA from 1 species
AAUUUUGUGUUCUGUUUUCGGAGGUCAUGUUGGCGUGAUUUCGCAAUGGCUGUAUACGGCGGUUCUCCUACCGCCGCGUCUGUGGUACAAUGCUUUGGAAGACAUUGCCCAAACGAAACGAGGAAGUGGAUUGUUUUUAUUUUUAUUUUUUAAAUGAGACAUGAGUCCUCUACAUCUAAAAUUCAGACAGGUAAUUGGGGUCUCAACUCCUUUUAUCCUUCACUGAAAUAUUCAUUUUAAAAAUAAAAACAAAUGCAUGGUUCUAUUAAUAUUGGAUGAGUUGAAUGAAGAGAUAGCAACACAUGCAAAAUCACACAUAAAAAUAAACCAGUAAAGAAAACCAGGUUUAGAUGAAAUUUGCAAAGAAGAAGGUCCUUUCUUUUGAGCAUGGCAUGACUGAAGUUCAUGGUCACACACAAUUUCUUAAUUUGGUUAUAUUCACAUACUUAUGUACAUAAACAAACAAUAACACCAUUCCAAACUUGAAACUACCACCACCAACAGAUGGAAUGGGUCUGCAGGAAGGACAGAAUGAAUGAGAAUGAGAUCCAAAAACUUUCUAUACAUGGACAUGUACAUGCUCUCCCUCUUGUUUUGUUUUGCUUGUAAUAAUAAUAUUAUUAAGAUCAUUAUUAUAGUUGCUGUUACUCCUUUUUCUUUAAGCUUAAGAGCACAGAAUAGAAAAUGAAAGAGGUAAUUGUGAUGGUGAUUUCCUGUCAUCAAGCCUGCUGCUGAAGGUCAAUGGGUGGUCAUUUUCUUUUCUCUCUAUGCUUUUCCAAAAUUGUCUGACAUUGGGCUGCAUUGAGAGGAACAAUGACACUCCAGAGGGACUGGCCACAUUGCAUGAAGAAACCCUGAAAGUAGUUUUAGUAAAUUGUGCCCUUAGUAAUUGUGUGCUCAUGGGGUGUGAGCAAGAGGUUUUAUUGUUAUUAUUGCAUAUUUUGUGGGGGGACAGCCUCCAAGAAGGGUGUUGUAAGACUGGGUAGGAUUGUUGAAAACCAAAGUGCAAGAUGAGGUGGAUAUUGGAAAGGACCUAGGAUAUGGUUUUUUUCUAGGUGAUAAGUAAGAGUGAAACAAAAAUGCAAAAACUGCUCAUGCAGACCCCAAAAAUCUUGUAGUGGGAGACUUGCAUCCUUCAAUUGUGGAUAGUGGGAUUCAACUUCAGGUGACCUCUUUGGUAUGUAGAUACCAAUAUAGAUGAUGUUGAAGCUAGUCCCAAAUGAACUUGUGAGUAGUGUCCACUACAUUAUCCAAGACCUUGGUCCUGUGAUGGAUUGAAAUAGAAAUAACAAAUUUUGGGUAGAUUAAAUUUUUUGUGUAGAUUAAAUUUUUUGUGUUGCUCUUACAAAUGGUAAUUCUUACUAUUUAACUAUUAAAUCCCUCAAUCCAAUCUUUGGAAAUGUUUCAAACAUUACAAUAGACCACAAUAACCUAUCAAUUUG